AUUGAACGCUGGCGGCAGGCCUAACACAUGCAAGUCGAACGAGUGACGGACGGGUGAGUAAUGGCUGGGAACAUGCCCGAUGGAGGGGGAUAAGUACUGGAAACGGUAGCUAAUACCGCGUACCAUCGGAUGUGCCCAGAGGGGAUUAGCUGGUGGGUGGGUGAACGGCUCACCUAGGGGAGGAGCCGUAGAUGGGGUGCGAGGAUGACCAGUCACACUGGAACUGAGACACGGUCCAGACGCCUACGGGAGGCAGCAGUGGGGAAUCGUGGACAAUGGGCGAAAGCCUGAUACAGCCAUGCCGCGGGUAUGAAGAAGGUCUUCGGGUUGUAAAUGACUGGUAUUGGGUAGGCGUUACCCGCAGAAGAAGCCCCGGCUAACUCCGUGCCAGCAGCCGCGGUAAUAC
rnacentral:rRNA from 1 species